rnacentral:snRNA from 1 species
AAACUUAACUGCCAUGGAAUUCAACUGUGAUCGUUAAGGCUGUUCCUCAGGGGAGGGCCUUCCGUUGCACUUGGGUAGGCUUAACCUCCUCACUUAUUCCAAAUGUUGAAUAGCAUAAUUUUUGUAGGUGGGGACCUACGUACGCCCUCGCCUUCCCCC